rnacentral:rRNA from 1 species
UACGUAGGGGGCAAGCGUUGUCCGGAUUUAUUGGGCGUAAAGCGCUCGUAGGUGGUUCAUUGCGUCGUGCGUGAAAGACCCCGGCUCAACUGGGGAGGGUCGUGCGAAACGGGUGAACUAGAGGCCAGUAGGGGGAUGCGGAAUUCCGGGUGUAGUGGUGGAAUGCGUAGAGAUCCGGAGGAACACCAGCGGCGAAGGCGGCAUCCUGGACUGGUCCUGACACUCAGGAGCGAAAGCGUGGGGAGCGAUCCGG